rnacentral:rRNA from 1 species
AUACGAAAGGUGCAAGCGUUGUUCGGAUUUACUGGGCGUAAAGAGAGUGUAGGUUGUUUAUUAAGUCGGAUGUGAAAUCCCGGGGCUCAACCUCGGAACUGCAUUCGAUACUGGUAGACUAGAGUUCGAGAGGGGUAAGCGGAAUUCCGUGUGUAGCAGUGAAAUGCGUAGAUAUACGGAGGAACACCUGAGGCGAAGGCGGCUUACUGGACCGAUACUGACACUGAGACUCGAAAGCGUGGGUAGCAAACAGAAUUAGAAACCCUUGUAGUCC